AUCUUAUCAAGAGAGAUUGAGGGACAGGCCCGGUGAUAUCUCAGCAACCUGCCAAUGCAAGGUGCUAAAUCCUGCAGAUUAUAUCUGGAAGAUAAGCA
rnacentral:ncRNA from 2 species